GAGUUUGAUCCUGGCUCAGAAUGAACGUUGGCGGCGUGGAUUAGGCAUGCAAGUCGAGCGAGAACCCAGCAAUGGGGGACAGCGGCGCAAGGGACAGUAAUGUGUAGAUCAUCUGCCCUCAGGUCCGGGAUAGCUGCGGGAAACUGCAGGUAAUACCGGAUAACAUCUCCGGAUCAAAGGUGUGAUUCCGCCUGAGGAUGAGUCUACAUCCUAUUAGCUAGUUGGCAGGGUAACGGCCUACCAAGGCUUUGAUGGGUAGCGGGUGUGAGAGCACGACCCGCGUCAUUGGGACUGAGACACUGCCCAGACACCUACGGGUGGCUGCAGUCGAGAAUCUUCGGCAAUGGGCGCAAGCCUGACCGAGCGACGCCGCGUGCGGGAUGAAGGCCUUCGGGUUGUAAACCGCUGUCAGAGGGGAUGAAAUGCAGGUGGGUUCUCCCAUCUGUUUGACAUAGCCUCAGAGGAAGGACGGGCUAAGUUCGUGCCAGCAGCCGCGGUAAGACGAACCGUCCAAACGUUAUUCGGAAUCACUGGGCUUAAAGGGUGCGUAGGCGGCGCGGAAAGUUGGGUGUGAAAUCCCUCGGCUCAACCGAGGAAUUGCGCCCAAAACUUCCGUGCUCGAGGAAGAUAGAGGUGAGCGGAACUUAGGGUGGAGCGGUGAAAUGCGUUGAUAUCCUAAGGAACACCGGUGGCGAAAGCGGCUCACUGGAUCUUUUCUGACGCUGAGGCACGAAAGCUAGGGUAGCGAACGGGAUUAGAUACCCCGGUAGUCCUAGCCGUAAACGAUGAGCACUGGAUUGGAGGGUCCUCCAUAGCCUUCCAGUCGCAACGAAAGCGUAA
rnacentral:rRNA from 1 species